rnacentral:misc_RNA from 1 species
ACAAAAAUCUCUAGGUAAAUUGAUUGGUAGGUUUUAGGAACCCUUAGUAAUGUUACCCGUCCUCUCUUUAGCUAGGACGAAUAACCUUGCAAGCAGCCUGUUCUAGCCCAAUGAUCUCAUGUCUACCCUUAUAGUAAUAGCCAGGAUUCAUUUAGUGCUGAUACAACCUCUUAGUUGUACUUGUUGAAUACCACCUUUGAUCUAAAAAUCGUAGGCAAUUUAUUAUGGAUCUGUACUUAGGAUAUUGUCUGCUAAUUUCUUUCUGAUCAAUAUAGAAUUUCUUUAGAAGCCAACUUCUUGAUGUUCCCAAUUGAUAUACUGAUAAGAAUCUGAAGUGGAUAAAAAGGCCGCUUCAUAAGUUCAUGGGAAAAUGAUUUAUGCCUUGAAUAGGAACUUGUUACGUGAAAAUAAGAACUUGAUAAAUCAGUUUCCAUAUUCUAAGUGAUGGAGGUAUUGUCUGUUUCAGCUAAUUUUGCCAUUUGGACAACAAAGUUACUAUGGAUUAAUAGAAUGAUUCAAGCGCCACUCAAAGAUUAGUCUGGUUAGUCUUAUUUUACCUUUUAAGAUGUAGAUGGUAGGAAAGUCUCGAGUUUGAGGAUUCUUAUCUAACAAUUCUAAUAUAAUUCACUUUUAUGCUAAGAUAAAAAAAAUAAAAAAUAAAAA